rnacentral:rRNA from 1 species
AUUGAACGCUGGCGGCAGGCCUAACACAUGCAAGUCGAACGGAGCGGCGGACGGGUGAGUAAUGCCUAGGAAUCUGCCCGGUAGUGGGCGAUAACGUCCGGAGACGGACGCUAAUGACGCAUACUAUCAGAUGAGCUUAGGUCGUAUUAGCUAGUUGGUGGGGUAAAGGCUUACCAAGGCGACGAUGCGUAACUGGUCUGAGAGGAUGAUCAGUAACACUGGAACUGAGACACGGUCCAGACUCCUACGGGAGGCAGCAGUGGGGAAUCUUGGACAAUGGGCGAAAGCCUGAUCCAGCCAUGCCGCGUGUGUGAAGAAGGUUUUCGGAUUGUAAAGCACUUUAAGUUGGGAGGCGGUACCUACAGAAUAAGCACCGGCUAACUUCGUGCCAGCCGCCGCGGUAAUUC